GGGAAUCCGGUGCGAAUCCGGAACUGUCCCGCAACGGUGUACUUGUGCACGUCUGUGCACAGGAGUCAGUCCGAGGACC
rnacentral:ncRNA from 1 species